AUCGACAGGUUGAGGCGAACUCGUAUAUCCUCGGGAAUCCGGCCCGAGAGUCUCUACCCGGCGACCGUGAAUCGCCGGACUACGAGGAAGCCGAGCCGCGCA
rnacentral:ncRNA from 1 species